AGCUUUGCGCAGUGGCAGUAUCGUAGCCAAUGAGGUUUAUCCGAGGCGCGAUUAUUGCUAAUUGAAAACCUUCCAUUUCUGUUUUUUGGAACAGUUUCAGGAGAAUAGGUAAUAAUUCUUUAAUUUUUUUUUUUUUAACUAGAAA